rnacentral:rRNA from 1 species
AGAGUUUGAUCAUGGCUCAGAACGAACGCUGGCGGCAUGCCUAACACAUGCAAGUCGAACGGGAUCCUGGCUUCGGCCAGGUGAGAGUGGCGGACGGGUGAGUAACGCGUGGGAACCUGCCCAUUGGUCUGGGAUAACUGCGGGAAACUGCAGCUAAUACCGGAUGUACCCGAGAGGGGAAAGAUUUAUCGCCGAUGGAGGGGCCCGCGUCAGAUUAGGUAGUUGGUGAGGUAACGGCUCACCAAGCCUACGAUCUGUAGCUGGUCUGAGAGGAUGAUCAGCCACACUGGGACUGAGAUACGGCCCAGACUCCUACGGGAGGCAGCAGUGGGGAAUAUUGGACAAUGGGGGCAACCCUGAUCCAGCAAUGCCGCGUGAGUGAUGAAGGCCUUAGGGUUGUAAAGCUCUUUUACCAGGGACGAUGAUGACGGUACCUGGAGAAUAAGCCCCGGCUAACUUCGUG